CUCAAGUUUUCCUCUUCAAUUUCAGCGAAGGAAGGAUGGCGGAUUAAAAGCAGAAGCCGUGGAGGAAAGCGGGAAAUCCUCUGGAUCGUGGAGGGUAGUCCCUCUGAAAAUGUUUGCAAAAGCAAAAGCAUAUGUAAUUCAAGACUACCCAUGAACAAGAAAAAGGGAACCCAAGAAUUUAAGCUAUACGGAAAAGAAAAUCAUUUGCAAAUAUUAAUUCCCGUGAACCACCCAAAAAAUAAUUGUAGUUUGGGUUUCCAAACUGUUUAAACCUGAAUGGCUGACUGGAGGAUUGUUGGCAUGAUAUUCACACCUUUUUUCUUCAACCAGAAACAAAAAUGACAAGAUGAAAUCCUGAACCAAGGUAGCCCUUGACUUACAACCAUAGUUGAGCCUGGACUUACACUGGAAACCUGCAAAAAAAUGUCCUAAAUUGUGGUUACAUGUCUGUGGGAAGCUGGAAACAUCUGAAAUGGUGAGCUGGCUGUCAAGCACCCAAAAUGUGACCACAUGACUCUGUAUGUGUAUGUGUUGAUUUUGAAAAUGGGUAGUAAAUAGCUUUUUUUGGAGGGGGGAAAACAUCAUAAAUUUAGGGCUACCUACAGUGAAAGAUGCCCAAU